rnacentral:rRNA from 1 species
UACGAAGGGGGCUAGCGUUGCUCGGAAUCACUGGGCAUAAAGCGCACGUAGGCGGCUUUUUAAGUCAGGGGUGAAAUCCUGGAGCUCAACUCCAGAACUGCCUUUGAUACUGGGAAGCUUGAGUCCGGAAGAGGUGAGUGGAACUCCGAGUGUAGAGGUGAAAUUCGUAGAUAUUCGGAAGAACACCAGUGGCGAAGGCGGCUCACUGGUCCGGUACUGACGCUGAGGUGCGAAAGCGUGGGGAGCAAACAGG